rnacentral:rRNA from 1 species
GUUAGAGGAUCGAAGACGAUUAGAUACCGUCCUAGUUCUAACUGUAAACUAUGCCGAGCGGGGAUUCGCCAAUGCAAUAUUGCUUGGCGAGCACCCUCCGGGAAACCAAAGUGAUUGGGUUCCGGGGGGAGUAUGGUUGCAAAAUCGAAACUUAAAGGAAUUGACGGAGGGGCACACCAGAAGUGGAGCCUGCGGCUCAAUUUGACUCAACGCACGAAAGCUUACUCGGUCCGAACACCGUGAGGAUUGACAGGUUGAAAGCUCUUUCUUGAUCCGGUGGGUAGCGGUGCAUGGCCGUUCGUAGUUGGUGAAGUGAUUUGUCUGGUUUAUUCCGAUAACGAACGAGACUCUAGCCUACUAAUUAGCGUGAUGAUUGAUCGUCAUUACAAAUGCUUCUUAGAGGGACAGGUGUUGCUUAAACACACGAAGUAGAGCAAUAACAGGUCUGUGAUGCCCUUCGAUGUUCGAGGCUGCACGCGCGCUACAAUGGAGGGCGCAAAGCGCACUACGCAUUUUGAAAAGGAUGCGGAAUCGUAAAUAGCCUUCAUGACUGGGAUCGGAGAUUGAAAUUAUUCUUCGUGAACGAGGAAUUCCUAGUAAGCGCGAAUCAUUACCUCGCGUUGAUUAAGUCCCUGCCCUUUGUACACACCGCCCGUCGCUACUACCGAUUGAAUGAUUUGGUGAGGUCUGUGGAUAGGUGUCACUGGGUUAACCCCCUGUUGUACUUACCUAGAAGCUGACCAAGCUUAAGCGUUUAGAGGAAGUAAAAGUCGUAACAAGGUUUCCGUAGGUGAACCUGCGGAAGGAUCAUUGAAGUCUUGACCAUCAUUUUUGUGAUGGAUACGGCUAUAAAGAAAUUCUGUGAAAAAUUGGCAACCCCAUGUACGGGUAAGGUGGAUUGCUGAUACAAAACUUAAAUGACUUACCUGUCCAGUAAUUAGGGUAUGAUUAAUUGAUAAUGUUUGCGACUUGCAGACUAUUAUACAUACUUUUUCGGUGAAAACUCAAUUCUUGAAAUGAAUUGUCAGUGUACAGUGAAUCACUUGGCUCGCAAAACGAGGAAGGACAUUGCCAUAUGUGAUAAAUUCUGUGAACUGCAGAUCACACGGAACAGACAGUUUUUGAACGCAAAUGACAGUUGUGAGUUUUUGCUCACAACUACACCCGUUUGAGACCUUAAAAAUUUAUAACUCAAUAUAGUUGUAAACAGUUGAUGCAUGAUUAAUGUUGGUGUAUUCUGUUAAUUGGAAUUACCAUAAUGUGUGUCAAACUGAGAUUAUCUAACACUGCCUUGAAAUGCUCUGUGGAAUGAGAAUAAUUGAUGGUAGUUGUUAACUUAUGGUCUAAACUAUUUGGUCUCAAAUCGGG